rnacentral:misc_RNA from 1 species
GAUGAAGAACGCAGCGAAAUGCGAUAAGUAAUGUGAAUUGCAGAAUUCAGUGAAUCAUCGAAUCUUUGAACGCACAUUGCGCCCCUUGGUAUUCCGAGGGGCAUGCCUGUUCGAGCGUCAUUAUAACCCCUCAAGCUCAGCUUAGUGUUGGGGCCUGCUGCACUGGCAGCCCUUAAAAUCAGUGGCGGCGCCAUCUGGCUCUAAGCGUAGUAAUUCUUCUCGCUAUGGAGUCCUGGUGGAUGCUUGCCAUCAACCCCCAAUUUUUCUAUGGUUGACCUCGGAUCAGGUAGGGAUACCCGCUGAACUUAAGCAUAUCAAUAAGCGGAGGA